rnacentral:lncRNA from 1 species
CUUUAAAUCACCACUGGCAGUCACAGAGCUGACCCCUGUCUGCACCUUUCAGACACGGGUGAGGCAUUGUUUGAUGUCAGCUUUGCAGGCUCCUGCUCAGUAAUGCACAGGGGCUCCCACUGCCCACAGCCAUGAUUGGAGACAAAUGCCUAUUUCCUACCCAGUGAUCCUAAGACAACCUACAGUAGCAGGAAGGUAUGCCUAAGAACACAGCCCAAGAGAAGCUUGAGAUGAAGUGUUCUCUCAGCUCUGUGUCCUGUUUUUUUCAAGAGCAAGAAGAAAUAGUCCAUGAAAGAACACUGAGGUUACAGCUGUAA